CUAGGGUGGCAGAGCCAGGAGAAAUGCAAAAGACCUAAGCCCUUUAUUUCAGAAGUUCAAAUCCUCUCCCUAGU
rnacentral:tRNA from 1 species